rnacentral:rRNA from 1 species
GAAUUUUAUAUAUAAAAAUUAUUAAUCAUAAUUAAUUAUAAGUAUAAAUAAAGUUAUAUAUUUAGUUGGGAGGAUUAUUAAAUUAGUUGAACUUUAAUUAAAAAAGGAUAUUAAUUAAUAAAUAAUAAGAUUAUUUAAGGAAGGAUUAGAUUUUAAUUGAAUAAGAAUUAAUUACCUUAGGGAUAACAGCGUAAUAAUUUUGGAAAGAACAUAUUAAUAAAAUUGAUUGC